rnacentral:rRNA from 1 species
UACGUAGGUGGCAAGCGUUGUUCGGAAUUAUUGGGCGUAAAGGGCGCGUAGGCGGUUUGUUAAGUCGGUUGUGAAAGCCCGGGGCUCAACCCCGGAGAGUCGACCGAUACUGGCAGACUAGAGUACAGAAGAGGUAGCUGGAAUUCCUGGUGUAGCGGUGAAAUGCGUAGAUAUCAGGAGGAACCCCCGAGGCGAAGGCGGGCUACUGGGCUGAUACUGACGCUGAUGCGCGAAAGCCAGGGGAGCAAACGGG